rnacentral:rRNA from 1 species
AUUGAACGCUGGCGGCAGGCCUAACACAUGCAAGUCGAGCGAGCGGCGGACGGGUGAGUAAUGUCUGGGGAACUGCCUGAUAGAGGGGGAUAACUACUGGAAACGGUAGCUAAUACCGCAUACUAUCGGAUGAACCCAGAUGGGAUUAGCUAGUAGGUGGGGUAAAGGCUCACCUAGGCGACGAUCUCUAGCUGUGCUGAGAGGAUGAUCAGCCAAAAUGGGACCUAUAAACGGCCCAAAAUCCUAAGGGAGGCAGCAGUGGGGAAUAUUGCACAAAGGGCGCAAGCCUGAUACAGCCAUGCCGCGUGUAUGAAGAAGGCCUUAGGGUUGUAAAGUACUUUCAGCGGGGAGGCGUUACCCGCAGAAGAAGCACCGGCUAACUCCGUGCCAGCAGCCGCGGUAAUAC